UGUGGGAGCUGGCUUGCCUGCGAUAGCGGUGGCUCAGUUAGCGCUUAGGGCACUGAUACACCGCUAUCGCAGGCAAGCCAGCUCCCACA
rnacentral:misc_RNA from 1 species